GUGCCAGCAGCCGCGGUAAUACAGAGGGUGCGAGCGUUAAUCGGAUUUACUGGGCGUAAAGCGUGCGUAGGCGGCUUGUUUAAGUCGGAUGUGAAAUCCCUGAGCUUAACUUAGGAAUUGCAUUCGAUACUGGGAAGCUAGAGUAUGGGAGAGGAUGGUAGAAUUCCAUGGUGUAUGCGGUGAAAUGCGUGAGAGAUCUGGAGGAAUACCGAUGGCGAAGGCAGCCAUCUGGCCUAAUACUGACGCUGAGGUACGAAAGCAUGGGGAGCAAACAGGAUUAGAUACCCUGGUAGUCCAUGCCGUAAACGAUGUCUACUAGUCGUUGGGGCCUAUGAGGCUUUAGUGGCGCAGCUAACGCGAUAAGUAGACCGCCUGGGGAGUACGGUCGCAAGACUAAAACUCAAAUGAAUUGACGGGGGCCCGUACAAAGCGGUGGCAGUAUGUGGUUUAAUUCUGAUGCAACGCGAAGAACCUUACC
rnacentral:rRNA from 1 species